GAUGAACGCUGGCGGCGUGCCUAAUACAUGCAAGUCGAGCGAAGCGGGGACGGGUGAGUAACACGUGGAUAACCUCCUAUAAGACUGGGAUAACUUCGGGAAACCGGAGCUAAACCGGAUACUUAUAGAUGGAUCCGCGCUGCAUUAGCUAGUUGGUAAGGUAACGGCUUACAAAGGCAACGAUGCAUAGCCGACCUGAGAGGUUGAUGGGCCACAUGGGAACUGAGACACGGUCCAGACCCCAACGGGGCGCAGCAGUAGGGAGUGUCCCGCAAUGGGCGAAAGCCUGAAGGAGGAACGCCGCUCGAGUGAUGAAGUGCUUGGGAUCGUAAACCUCUGUUAUUAGGGAAGUGGUACCUUAUCAGAAAGCCCCGGCUAACUCCGUGCCAGCAGCCGGGUAAUAC
rnacentral:rRNA from 1 species